AUUUUUGUGAAAUGAUGUCAAUAGGAAAAUAUUUCAACUUAACAAAAAUGUACAAAGAAAUUCUUUUGAUAUUGAUUUUUGUUUACUCACAACAAAUGUGCAAGCCAGGUAUUUGCGACAGAAUUCAAUGUAAGCCAGCUAAGUGUGGUCCUGGACAAGAACUUUAUAAGAAUGGCGGCUUAUGUCACUGUUGUGAUAUUUGUCUCACGUUUAUAUGAUGAAGUCUAAUGCUGAAAAGAGAUUAAAGGAUAGUUGUUCUGUUUUGGGAUGGCUUUGUAGUUCGUCCAUUCGAUCUCAGUGUGGCCUUCUCGAAAGUAUUUUGAUCAUUAGAUAUUCGCCCACUUUCGAAUAAUGUAACCAAGCAUUCA